UUUUAAAAAUUUUGACUAUAAUCAUGUGCCUAAAUUUAUAAGUUAGUUACUGAAACUUUGUUGCAAAUAGUGGAAGACCUGAUACUUUUAAAAAACAUUUUUUCAAAAGAUUAAAUGGAGCCACACGGAAACCAAGUUCUCUUUGUCUGUUUGGUUGCUCUGGUAUAUAUGAACCAUGCAGAACCUCGCUAUCGUCGGCACACUUUCCGAACCCUGCAUCCAACUCAACGUAUGUUUUUGAUUGCUAGGUUUCUUUGUAUACUUGUGAACGCUAUUGGCUACGUUCAAAUAUUCAAGAGUUUGAAUGAAUGAACUGACUGCACCAGUUGAUCUUCAACAGUUUUGGGUAAUUGUCAAGUAACCAUUAAGCUCUGGAAGUGCUGUGUAUUUGCUGCUGAAAAUGCACUACGUAAACUAAAGAACCGCAAAAUUAUCAGCAGACUCAACAGAUGUCUGCGGUAUGGUGAAAAUAGGGUCUGACAUUUGCUAUCAAAAGAAAAAUUUUUCAUGAUUUUUAUCCAAAUUAUUUAGUGAUAAAUAAACACUAAUCAGAUACGAGGCACAAUUUA